AAUAUUCUAGGUUUCUUAGUGCCUUAGGGAAAAAAGAAGGAAAGAAGGAAGGAAAGAAAGAAGGAAUAAAGAAAGGGAGGGAGGGAGGGAGGAUGGAAGAAAAUGUAUUAACUCCUAAUAUCUAAUCUAAAGAUUAGUUAAUUGCAACCUACUAAACAGCAUUUUCCAUAGUUUUCUUAUCAUAAAUAGGAAACCAGGCAUAAAAUGUGAAAGAUAUUUUUUAAAAGAAAUAUGUAACCAUGAAAAUAAAAAACAAAUUGUUCAUCCACAUUAAUGCUGUUAAUCAUAAAGAGCCAUACUUGAGGAAAUUCUAUUUGGCAGAUUCAGGGAGAAAAGCCGUGAAUGCAGUAGAAAAACAUAGUUUAUUUCAACAAAUACUGGAACCACCGGAUAUACAGUCAUACCUUGCUUUAUUGCAUUUUGCUUUAUUGUGCUUCACAGAUACUAUAUUUUUUACAAAUUGAAGAUUGAAGGUUCAUGGCAACCCUGCAUCAAGCAAGUCUAUGGGUGUUAGUUUUUCAACUGCAUGUGCUCACAUUGUGUCACAUUUUGUUAAUUCUCAUAUUUCAAACUUUUUCAUUAUUAUUAUAUCUGUUACAGUGAUCUGUGAUC
rnacentral:lncRNA from 1 species